CCUACUGUGCCUGUACACCUGCGCCAUGAUGAAUGAGAGAUAUCCAUGCGUGACGAAAUAGACAGGCAGUGCACUCUACAUAACGGCAUUUCAUGGUUGCGUAGUGGGCUGCCACCGUGCAAGCUUCCCAUCCGCACCACUCCCGACGAUAACCUGAUAUCCUCAGGAUGAAUUUCUUCGGCGUGAUACUAGUCGCCAUGCAUGUCCUGUACGUGCAACAUGCUGAGUCCCGAAGCAACCCUGCGGUGCAACGUGAAAUGAAGGAAUUGUCUUCAGUUACACAGAACGACCGGUCAAGCAUGGGGAUAGGACGACAAAUGAGUUCUUUAAAGAGCACAGGGUGGAACAUGCAGAAUUCAUUACAAGGUUCAAGUUUUUCACGAAGUUCCAGGCGGAGCAAUCAUGUUAUCCGGCAUAAAGUCAAUUCUACGCACAAUGCCGUGUCGAGCAUUGGAGAUGCGCAGGAUUACAGGUCUUUGCAACUUCACCAGUCGAGAAAGAAAGCUACACAUAGGGAAGAGAGAGCGCAUACUGUCGUGACGGAUCACCAAAGAGCAAAGAAAGUCGACAGUUCUGCACAAGCUGCAUGGUCGAGCAGCCAUGGUACACACCGAAGUAACAAGUUCUCACAAACUGAACUGUCAAGCAGUCACCAAGGCACUGCCGCACCCAACACAGAGCUGAGCUGGAAGAAUGGCAAUAAAGGAUUCAGUUCCACAAUAAAUACGGGGUCCAUCACCCGGGGUGCACAACGAAGCGAUAGUUCAUCAAGAAAUGGCGGCUUGUUGAUGCAGAAUGAAGAUGACGAAGCUAGUUCUUCACGAAGGAUGGGGGUGAAAACACAUGCGGAACAGCAAAGAGUCAGCUCUUCACAACAAGAGGAAUCUCGCUUAAGACUGAGCAUGCAGCGCUCCCGUCAAGAAGCUAUUUCUACAGAAACUGGCGCGGCGGGCAUGCAGGGUUCACAACACAGUUAUAGAGGCACUUCCCAAUCGAGAACGCAGAAAGCCGAAAAACAACAAAGAGAUGCACAUCAAAUUACCGUCGUUAGUCAUACACGAAGCGCUGGGUCAGGUGUGAGAACUGAGCAACAACACUCCAGUCAAACAGAAAAUUCUAGGUCGGCGACGCGGGGUUCACAACACAGUUAUACAGAUACUACCCAGUCGAGAACGCAGAAAGUCGAAAAACAACAAAGAGAUGCACAUCAAGUUACCGUCGUUAGUCAUACACGAAGCGCUGGGUCAGGUGUGAGAACUGAGCAGCAACACUCCAGUCAAACAGAAAAUUCUAGGUCGGCGACGCGGGGUUCACAACACAGUUAUACAGGUACUACCAUGUCAAGAACGGAGAAAGCAGAAAAACAACAAAGAGAUGCGCAUCAAAUUACCGCCGUUAGUCAUACACGAAGCGCUGGGUCAGGUGUGAGAACUGAGCAGCAACACUCCAGUCAAACAGAAAAUUCUAGGUCGGCGACGCGGGGUUCACAACACAGUUAUACAGGUACUACCCAGUCGAGGACGCAGAAAGCCGAAAAACAACAAAGAGAUGCACAUCAAACUACCGUCGUUAGUCAUACACGAAGCGCUGGGUCAGGUGUGAGAACUGAGCAGCAACACUCCAGUCAAACAGAAAAUUCUAGGUCGGCGACGCGGGGUUCACAACACAGUUAUACAGGUACUACCCAGUCGAGAACGCAGAAAGCCGAAAAACAACAAAGAGAUGCACAUCAAACUACCGUCGUUAGUCAUACACGAAGCGCUGGGUCAGGUGUGAGAACUGAGCAGCAACACUCCAGUCAAACAGAAAAUUCUAGGUCGGCGACGCAGGGUUCACAACACAGUUAUACAGGUACUACCAUGUCGAGAACGGAGAAAGCAGAAAAACAACAAAGAGAUGCACAUCAAACUACCGUCGUUAGUCAUACACGAAGCGCUGGGUCAGGUGUGAGAACUGAGCAGCAACACUCCAGUCAAACAGAAAAUUCUAGGUCGGCGACGCGGGGUUCACAACACAGUUAUACAGGUACUACCCAGUCGAGAACGCAGAAAGCCGAAAAACAACAAAGAGAUGCACAUCAAACUACCGUCGUUAGUCAUACACGAAGCGCUGGGUCAGGUGUGAGAACUGAGCAGCAACAUUCCAGUCAAACAGAAAAUUCUAGGUCGGCGACGCAGGGUUCACAACACAGUUAUACAGGUACUACCAUGUCGAGAACGGAGAAAGCAGAAAAACAACAAAGAGAUGCACAUCAAACUACCGUCGUUAGUCAUACACGAAGCGCUGGGUCAGGUGUGAGAACUGAGCAGCAACACUCCAGUCAAACAGAAAAUUCUAGGUCGGCGACGCGGGGUUCACAACACAGUUAUACAGGUACUACCAUGUCGAGAACGGAGAAAGCAGAAAAACAACAAAGAGAUGCGCAUCAAAUUACCGCCGUUAGUCAUACACGAAGCGCUGGGUCAGGUGUGAGAACUGAGCAGCAACACUCCAGUCAAACAGAAAAUUCUAGGUCGGCGACGCGGGGUUCACAACACAGUUAUACAGGUACGAACAUGUCGAGAACGGAGAAAGCAGAAAAACAACAAAGAGAUGCACAUCAAACUACCGUCGUUAGUCAUACACGAAGCGCUGGGUCAGGUGUGAGAACUGAGCAGCAACACUCCAGUCAAACAGAAAAUUCUAGGUCGGCGACGCGGGGUUCACAACACAGUUAUACAGGUACUACCCAGUCGAGAACGCAGAAAGCCGAAAAACAACAAAGAGAUGCACAUCAAACUACCGUCGUUAGUCAUACACGAAGCGCUGGGUCAGGUGUGAGAAGUGAGCAGCAACACUCCAGUCAAACAGAAAAUUCUAGGUCGGCGACGCGGGGUUCACAACACAGUUAUACAGGUACUACCCAGUCGAGAACGCAGAAAGCCGAAAAACAACAAAGAGAUGCACAUCAAACUACCGUCGUUAGUCAUACACGAAGCGCUGGGUCAGGUGUGAGAACUGAGCAGCAACACUCCAGUCAAACAGAAAAUUCUAGGUCGGCGACGCGGGGUUCACAACACAGUUAUACAGGUACUACCAUGUCGAGAACGGAGAAAGCAGAAAAACAACAAAGAGAUGCGCAUCAAAUUACCGCCGUUAGUCAUACACGAAGCGCUGGGUCAGGUGUGAGAACUGAGCAGCAACACUCCAGUCAAACAGAAAAUUCUAGGUCGGCGACGCGGGGUUCACAACACAGUUAUACAGGUACUAACAUGUCGAGAACGGAGAAAGCAGAAAAACAACAAAGAGAUGCACAUCAAACUACCGUCGUUAGUCAUACACGAAGCGCUGGGUCAGGUGUGAGAACUGAGCAGCAACACUCCAGUCAAACAGAAAAUUCUAGGUCGGCGACGCGGGGUUCACAACACAGUUAUACAGGUACUACCCAGUCGAGAACGCAGAAAGCCGAAAAACAACAAAGAGAUGCACAUCAAACUACCGUCGUUAGUCAUACACGAAGCGCUGGGUCAGGUGUGAGAACUGAGCAGCAACACUCCAGUCAAACAGAAAAUUCUAGGUCGGCGACGCGGGGUUCACAACACAGUUAUACAGGUACUACCCAGUCGAGAACGCAGAAAGCCGAAAAACAACAAAGAGAUGCACAUCAAACUACCGUCGUUAGUCAUACACGAAGCGCUGGGUCAGGUGUGAGAACUGAGCAGCAACACUCCAGUCAAACAGAAAAUUCUAGGUCGGCGACGCAGGGUUCACAACACAGUUAUACAGGUACUACCAUGUCGAGAACGGAGAAAGCAGAAAAACAACAAAGAGAUGCACAUCAAACUACCGUCGUUAGUCAUACACGAAGCGCUGGGUCAGGUGUGAGAACUGAGCAGCAACACUCCAGUCAAACAGAAAAUUCUAGGUCGGCGACGCGGGGUUCACAACACAGAUAUACAGGUACUAACAUGUCGAGAACGGAGAAAGCAGAAAAACAACAAACAGAUGCACAUCAAAUUACCGUCGUUAGUUAUGCAGGAAGCGCUGGGUCAGGUGUGAGAACUGAGCAGCAACACUCCAGUCAAACAGAAAAUUCUAGGUCGGCGACGCGGGGUUCACAACACAGUUAUACAGGUACUAACAUGUCGAGAACAGAGGAAGCAGAAAAACAACAAAGAGAUGCGCAUCAAAUUACCGUCGUUAAUCAUACACGAAGCGCUGGGUCAGGUGUGAGAACUGAGCAGCAACACUCCAGUCAAACAGAAAAUUCUAGGUCGGCGACGCGGGGUUCACAACACAGUUAUACAGGUACUACCCAGUCGAGAACGCAGAAAGCCGAAAAACAACAAAGAGAUGCACAUCAAACUACCGUCGUUAGUCAUACACGAAGCGCUGGGUCAGGUGUGAGAACUGAGCAGCAACACUCCAGUCAAACAGAAAAUUCUAGGUCGGCGACGCAGGGUUCACAGCACAGUUAUACAGGUACUACCAUGUCGAGAACGGAGAAAGCAGAAAAACAACAAAGAGAUGCACAUCAAACUACCGUCGUUAGUCAUACACGAAGCGCUGGGUCAGGUGUGAGAACUGAGCAGCAACACUCCAGUCAAACAGAAAAUUCUAGGUCGGCGACGCGGGGUUCACAACACAGUUAUACAGGUACUACCAUGUCGAGAACGGAGAAAGCAGAAAAACAACAAAGAGAUGCGCAUCAAAUUACCGCCGUUAGUCAUACACGAAGCGCUGGGUCAGGUGUGAGAACUGAGCAGCAACACUCCAGUCAAACAGAAAAUUCUAGGUCGGCGACGCGGGGUUCACAACACAGUUAUACAGGUACUAACAUGUCGAGAACGGAGAAAGCAGAAAAACAACAAAGAGAUGCACAUCAAACUACCGUCGUUAGUCAUACACGAAGCGCUGGGUCAGGUGUGAGAACUGAGCAGCAACACUCCAGUCAAACAGAAAAUUCUAGGUCGGCGACGCGGGGUUCACAACACAGUUACACAGGUACUACCCAGUCGAGAACGCAGAAAGCCGAAAAACAACAAAGAGAUGCACAUCAAACUACCGUCGUUAGUCAUACACGAAGCGCUGGGUCAGGUGUGAGAACUGAGCAGCAACACUCCAGUCAAACAGAAAAUUCUAGGUCGGCGACGCAGGGUUCACAACACAGUUAUACAGGUACUACCUUGUCGAGAACGGAGAAAGCAGAAAAACAACAAAGAGAUGCACAUCAAACUACCGUCGUUAGUCAUACACGAAGCGCUGGGUCAGGUGUGAGAACUGAGCAGCAACACUCCAGUCAAACAGAAAAUUCUAGGUCGGCGACGCGGGGUUCACAACACAGAUAUACAGGUACUAACAUGUCGAGAACGGAGAAAGCAGAAAAACAACAAACAGAUGCACAUCAAAUUACCGUCGUUAGUUAUGCAGGAAGCGCUGGGUCAGGUGUGAGAACUGAGCAGCAACACUCCAGUCAAACAGAAAAUUCUAGGUCGGCGACGCGGGGUUCACAACACAGUUAUACAGGUACUAACAUGUCGAGAACAGAGAAAGCAGAAAAACGACAAAGAGAUGCGCAUCAAAUUACCGUCGUUAAUCAUACACGAAGCGCUGGGUCAGGUGUGAGAACUGAGCAGCAACACUCCAGUCAAACAGAAAAUUCUAGGUCGGCGACGCGGGGUUCACAACAGAGUUAUAGAGGUACUAACACGUCGAGAACGGAGAAAGCGGAAAAACAACAAAGAGAUGCACAUCAAAUUACCCUCGUUAGUCAUGCACGAAGGGCUGGGUCAGGUGUGAGAACUGAGCAGGAACACUCCAGUCAAACAGAAAAUUCUAGGUCGGCGACGCAGGGUUCACAACACAGUUAUACAGGUACUACCCAGUCGAGAACGGAGGCAGCAUUAAAACAGCACAGAGGUUCACAGCAAAUUAUCGUCACCAGUGAUGCACGAAGCGCUGGGUCAGGUGUGAGAACUCAUCAGCAACACUCCAGUCACACAGAAAAUUCUAGGUCGGCGACGCAGGGUUCACAACACAGUUAUACAGGUACUACCCAGUCGAGAACGGAGGCAGCAUUAAAACAGCAAAGAGGUUCGCAGCAAAUUAUCGUCACCAGUGAUGCACGAAGCGCUGGGUCAGGUGUGAGCACUCAUCAGCAACACUCCAGUCAAACAGAAAAUUCUAGGUCGGCGAUGCAGGCUGCACGGCAAGGCUCCAGUCUCAUCACAGGUGAACAGCAACACGCCAAGCACGCACAGAAUAUCCGAUGGAAAGCAGCAGAGCAAAGUGUGAAUCGUGCACAAAGCGCCAGUUCGACAGUUACAACCAAACAGCAGCACUCUAGUAAAAGAGGAAAUGCCAGGCUGGGAGAGCAGACUGCACGGCGAUGUGAGAGUCGUUCACAAAAUAGUCGGUCAAGCGUGACUGGUGGACGACAAGGCACUACACUUCCAUGUAAGGCCGGAAGGCGAGCACCAGAGCAAAGACACCCCAAUCCGAAUCCUAGACAACGCCUGCGAUGUGUCAAAGUGAAGACGACUAAAAGGCCCUCUUCAAACGCCCGGAGGUCAUACGUAAAGUGUCCAAGACAGAGACACUAAGGCACUACAUAUUUUAUUAGGAAGAGCAGAGUUACUCCUUUCGUUUUCUCCUUCGUAUAUUUACGCAAUAACUGUUGCUUCCCACGGUUCAAUCCGCGCACGUACGUAGGGUUUCCUAGGGAACGUGAAAUGAUAUUGUUUCUACACAUAUGCAUGAACUUCACAGAAUAAACAAAUAAUUGGUACAUCUGA